GGGACGAACGCUGGCGGCGUGCUUAACACAUGCAAGUCGAGCGGUAAGGCCUUUCGGGGUACACGAGCGGCGAACGGGUGAGUAACACGUGGGUGAUCUGCCCUGCACUCUGGGAUAAGCUUGGGAAACUGGGUCUAAUACCGGAUAUGACUACAGCAUGCAUGUGUUGUGGUGGAAAGAUUUAUCGGUGCAGGAUGGGCCCGCGGCCUAUCAGCUUGUUGGUGGGGUAAUGGCCUACCAAGGCGACGAC
rnacentral:rRNA from 1 species